rnacentral:rRNA from 1 species
UACAGAGGUCCCAAGCGUUGUUCGGAUUCACUGGGCGUAAAGGGUGCGUAGGUGGCCGGGAAAGUUCGAUGUGAAAGCUCGGAGCUUAACUCCGAAAUGGCAUUGAAAACUACUUGGCUCGAGGGUCGGAGGGGAGACUGGAAUUCUCGGUGUAGCAGUGAAAUGCGUAGAUAUCGAGAGGAACACCAGUGGCGAAGGCGAGUCUCUGGACGACUCCUGACACUGAGGCACGAAAGCUAGGGGAGCAAACAGG